AAAUACCUUUCUCAAUGUAGGGAAUAACAUUGAAUUGAUACAAAUACCUUUUUCGGUGUAGGGAAAAACACCGAAUUGAUACAAAUACCUUUCUCAAUGUAGGGAAUAACAUUGA
rfam:Leptotrichia goodfellowii F0264 contig00078, whole genome shotgun sequence.